AACGAACGCUGGCGGCAGGCUUAACACAUGCAAGUCGAACGCACCUUUCGGGGUUAGUGGCAGACGGGUGAGUAACGCGUGGGAAUCUACCCUUCUCUACGGGAUAGCUCCGGGAAACUGGAAUUAAUACCGUAUACGUCCUGAGGGAGAAAGAUGUAUCGGGGCAGGAUGAGCACGCGUUGGAUUAGCUAGUUGGUGGGGUAAAGGCCUACCAAGGCGACGAUCCAUAGCUGGUCUAAGAGGAUGAUCAGCCACAUUGGGAAUGCGACACGGCCCAAACUCGUACGGGAGGCAGCAGUGGGGAAUAUUGGAGAAGGAGCGCAAGCCUGAUCCAGCCAUGCGGCGUGAGUGAUGAAGGCGCUAGGGUUGUGAAGCUCUUUCAGUGGGGACGAUAAUGACGGUACCCACAGAAGAAGCCCCGGCUAACUUCGUG
rnacentral:rRNA from 1 species